UACAGAGGUCUCAAGCGUUGUUCGGAUUCAUUGGGCGUAAAGGGCGCGUAGGCGGCUUGGUAAGUCGGGGGUGAAAGUCAGCGGCUCAACCGCUGGACUGCCUUCGAGACUGCCUGGCUUGAGCAUGGUAGAGGCUGGCGGAAUUCCCGGUGUAGCGGUGGAAUGCGUAGAGAUCGGGAAGAACAUCGGUGGCGAAGGCGGCCAGCUGGGCCAUUGCUGACGCUGAGGCGCGACAGCGUGGGGAGCAAACAGG
rnacentral:rRNA from 1 species